CUAAACACCAGAAUCAAAGAACAUCAACGCAAUGUACUUGAGAUUGAAGAACAUCACACUGCUCUAACAAAACAUAUGACCAAUAAAGAACAUACUUUUAACUACGACAAUACAAACAUCCUUUGUGAAGAACCCAAUUAUUAUAAAAGACUAUUACUAGAAAUGUGCAAUAUUGUAGGACACACCAAUUCCGUUAAUCUUAGACAAGAUGUUGAACAUUUAAGUAAUAUUUACAAACCGCUAAUCUCCGCCCACACACCACAUAUUGUUUAACCUUAACUAGACACAUAAAAUUAUUGUCCCCAUAGCACAGUUUUUCUACAUAAUUUUUUCACAUAUUAUUUUUUUGUUUUUCUGUAUAUUUGUUUAUAUUUGGUUCACCUUCGCUCUGGAUCAUAAUUGUUUCUCCCAUCAGUCGUUAUUCACCAGUUGACCCUAUCGGUUCAACCAAAAAUAAUUUUGUUAGACAUGGAGAACAUAGUCAUAAAGAUCCCGGCUCCACUUCUUGGAAAUUGUGCAAACUAAUUUUACUGCUAAAAAGACCUUCUUUAAAACCUUUUAAUACAAUGACAUAUAGACUGAGAAGAUACAUAGUUUUUUAAUCUUUUCAAUUAAUGACUACCAACUUGUAACUCCUACAUGUUAAACAACCAGAGGAGGUGACAACGACUACUGUUACUCAAAGAACAUUGUCUCCACAAAUUUUAAAUUAUGAAUUAGACUGUAUCUUAGUCCGCUUACUAUAAAAAAAAAGAUGGAAGUUUUUGGUGCCAGUUUGAUGUUUUAUUCAAAUACUGCACAUGAGUACAUGAGGACAAAAUUAGCUGUACUGCCCGAUUCAGAGACAGUCCAUAGAUGGUUCAGGAACAUCAAAUUCACGCCAGGCGUCAGUAAGCCUGUGUUACAGAGCAUCAAGAAAACCCAUCGAAAUUUGUAUUUCAAAAUGAUGUGCUAUGAGAUGCACAUCAGCAAACAUAUCGAAACUGGUGGCAAAGUCACCUAUGGAUUUGUUGACGUAGGAGCAGGAGGUACGAAUGAUACCAGCGAGACAUCAGCAGCUUUGGUUUAUAUGAUUGUAGCCUUAAAUGGGCAUUUGAAAGCUCCCAUAGCUUUUUAUUUUAUAAACGGAACGGGAGCUAAAAAAGAGUCCAUAUUACUACAAAUAUUUUAUGCACUUUGCACAAUUGCAACAUUGAUGUGAAAAGUUUAACUUCUGAUGAAACGAGUUUAAAUAUUUCAAUGUCUGAGUAUUUAGAAGCCACAUUCCUUGAUGUAAAUUGUCCAGAUUUUUGGGAAAAGGCUAUAUAUUUUCUACAUCCGGUAAAUAAAAAAAGAAAAUAUAUAUAUUAUGCUAUACGCGUGUCAUAUUAUGUUGAAAUUGGCAAGAAAUUCCCUCGAAUCGCGAUUAGUAUUGAACAGUACAGGCGAAACAAUUGAAUUGUCACAUUAUCAUAAUUUGGUGGACCUGCAAGAAGUGGAGGGUCUGCAUUGUGGCACCAAAAUUCGAGAGACGUUAAUUUUCAAAAUGAGAAAGUGAAAGUUAACUUGGCAACUCAAACUUCAAGCUAAAGCACAUCAGAUGCAUUAUUGUUCCUGAAGGUAAUUUAUAUUUACCUAUAUUUGAACAAGCUGGCCAUAUUGCACAAUAUUGUAGAAAAAUCAAUGAUAUAUUUGACUUUCUAAAUGUAAAAUCUAGCUUUUGCCCUAAAUUUGAGGCCCUUCGGUGCAUUAGAGCAGAUCAUUUUGAUAGUUGGGGGAAAAAAAUGAUGGGUGGGUAGAAUAUAUAAAAAAAUUCAAUGUUAAUUCUCCAAAUACUUAUCAAUAAGAGAAAACCUUUGAAAGAAAGGAACACCAACGUACCUGAAUGUUAUCCAAUAAAUGUAAGAUUUAUCAUGAAAGUUUAAGUAAUUUCACAGGUUUUGUAGCUACUUACUAAAAUUCUGCAAAUUGAAUGAAACUAAUCAUAAUACACAUGACCUACUUAUUGUCAUACGUGUCUUUUAUUAAUGAGCCAAAAAUUUUAUAUAUUUUUAGAUUUAUCUGAAUUUUCUCUCAAUUUUGAAAACUCCAGUCAAGAUCGGUAACUCAUCGAUAAUAAAUUCGAGUAAAUCAGCAUCAUAACAUUGAAUAAACUAUACCGAGAAAGUUGUUAAUGUGGUAAUUUUCUGAAAAAUCAAUGACAAAUACGAGGAGAAAAACGAUUCAAUAAUUAAUGUUAUAAUACAUGGUUUUUUAUUACAGUUCUAUAAAAAAAACUUACAUGGAAAAUAAUAUUUGGUUUGCUAAUAUAUUAAUAUUAGGAAUGAUAAAUUAGAUAGUACGGUGAACAAUGAUGUAUGUAUGAUACAGAUUUGAUGGUAUGAGGAGUGUUGAUAUCGCAUAAAACGCGAUAUUUUUCAAAUAGUCUCCAAUUACUAAAUAACAACUGUAGUUGUUAACAUAAGUUUCCUAUGUUUAAUUUUCAAUUUAAUCAACUUCCUCCAUGCGCGACGCAUCCUCGUUGUCACCCUCAACUGGCGUCACUUCCGCUGGAGCCGCUUCCUCUUCUUGUGUUGGUUCUUCCUCGUCAAUUCCAAGCCCAAGUUUAAUCAUGCGGUAAAUACGCGCAGCAUGGACUUGAGGUUCAUCUAAACUGAAACCAGAAGAUAACAGGGAAGUUUCAAAUAACAAAACAACCAAAUCUUUAACUGCUUUGUCAU